rnacentral:rRNA from 1 species
CCUACGGGAGGCAGCAGUGGGGAAUAUUGGACAAUGGGCGAAAGCCUGAUCCAGCAAUGCCGCGUGAGUGAUGAAGGCCUUAGGGUUGUAAAGCUCUUUUACCCGGGAUGAUAAUGACAGUACCGGGAGAAUAAGCUCCGGCUAACUCCGUGCCAGCAGCCGCGGUAAUACGGAGGGAGCUAGCGCUGUUCGGAAUUACUGGGCGUAAAGCGCGCGUAGGCGGUUUUUCAAGUCAGAGGUGAAAGCCUGGAGCUCAACUCCAGAACUGCCUUUGAAACUGGAUGACUUGAGUCUUGGAGAGGUCAGUGGAAUUCCGAGUGUAGAGGUGAAAUGCUUAGAUAUCGUCAAGAACACCGAUAGCGAAGGCAGCUUACUAGACUGUAACUGACACUGAUGCACGAAAGUGUGGGGAUCAAACAGGAUUAGAUACCCUGGUAGUCCACACUGUAAACGAUGAUUACUCGAUGUUGGCGAUACACAGCCAGCGUCUUAGCGAAAGCGAUAAGUAAUCCACCUGGGGAGUACGCCCGCAAGGGUGAAACUCAAAUGAAUUGACGG